ACUCUGCCCUCCUCGCCGCCGCCGCCGAUGACGACUCCACCUUCCGCCUCGUCGACGGCAAGCCUCCUCCCCGCCCCAAGUUCGGCCCCCGCUGGCGUUUCCAGCAGCGCACUCAGCUCCCCCAGCGCCGCGACGAAGAAGUCGAGGCGAAGAAGCGCGAGGCCGAGAAGGAGCGCGCCCGCCGCGACCGCCUCUGGCAGAACAACCGGCGUUCCGGCCCCGGCGGCAACAACUACUACCAAGGCGGACCCCGCCGUGACUCCCCGGCACUCAAAUCCUCCGUUGACAUCCAGCCGGAAUGGACAAUGCUGGACCAGAUCCCUUUCUCCACCUUCACCAAGCUCUCGUACGCCGUCCCCGACCCCCCGGAAGACCUCCUGCAAUGUGGGGCUCUCGAAUUCUACGACCGCACCUUCGACCGCCUCACCCCGAAGAGCG
rnacentral:misc_RNA from 1 species